GAACGACUCUCCUGAUGUAAACAGACUGUGGAAGUCACAGGUCGGCCGUUAAUAAGAAGAUGUUUUAUAAACUCUGUGCUCGCUGCAGUGACUAAAUGAGUUUUAUUGAGCCGCCGCUGACGAUCUGUACCUGCUGCUGCACCGCUCCCUGAGAUGUCGAAGUUCAGCCUUCAUAGACGGCCUCACGCUCAUAAAUUAAGCGCUUCCUGCUGCCCAACGAGCCCAGGCCAACUCUAAUCAGGCAGCACCUCCCUCGUCUUCCUCGCUGUGUGGAUCAAUAAAAGCUGCUGAGCAGCAGGGGGAGGCCUGGAGCGUGCUCAGUGAGGGUCACAGUCGGACUCUGAGGCCACAGCGACUUAAUGCGAGACGAGGAAGAAGAAGAGGAGGAGGAGGUGAUUAAUCGAGGACCACCUGAGCAGGCUCCAGAUUUCCCACAAUCCUCUCAAUUCGUGUGGUGACGGUUCUCCUGGAGAGGGGCUCAUUCUCCCUCCUGGAUGUGUAAAGCUGUGAUCUGCUCCCCACAAACGAAGCCCACAGCUUAACCUCUGACCUCCAUCCAUGGUGUGGAUCUUGCACAUGUUUGACUGCUGAACCUGACGAGAGCAGCUGUGAUGCCGACACCUUACCUGUUUCAGGUGUGGAGAGGUAGACUGCAACUUACUGUUGGGCCCCGAGUGUUUGAGCUGCAGAUGUUUUCUGAACCCAAACACCUGGAAGCAGCGACACAGACUGACUCAGACGGACAGCUGCCCUCCCCCGCCUCACCUGUCCAGACUGGUCGCCAUGGUUUCAUCAGAUGAGAGAGAGCAGUAACCGCGUUUUAUUGGCUGAGCUCGUCCAUCUUUCUUAACGAGUGCUCAUCGUUAGCUCGUUAGGGUGGGAGGGGUCAUUAACGAGACAAACUGACCAGCCUCCGGACACACCCAGCGCACGUACACACGCGCACACACACACACACACA